CGGAGGGUGCGAGCGUUGUCCGGAAUCACUGGGCGUAAAGGGCGCGUAGGCGGCCGUGUAAGUCACUUGUGAAAUCCCGGGGCUCAACUCCGGGGCUGCAGGUGAGACUGCGUGGCUAGAGCACGGUAGAGGCGAGUGGAAUUCCCGGUGUAGCGGUGGAAUGCGUAGAUAUCGGGAAGAACACCGGUGGCGAAGGCGGCUCGCUGGGCCGUUGCUGACGCUGAGGCGCGAAAGCGUGGGGAGCAAACAGGAUUAGAUACCCUGGUAGUCCACGCCGUAAACGAUGGGUACUAGGCGUCGGGGGGAGCGACCCUCCCGGUGCCGUCGCUAACGCAGUAAGUACCCCGCCUGGGGAGUACGGUCGCAAGACUG
rnacentral:rRNA from 1 species